CCAAAAGCAAAAUCGACAAGUUUUGCAACCACAAAUAACUGGCACUAACCACAACUUCCUACAGAGAUGAAGCAUAACAAAAAACAAAAAUAUAUUCACAUAAAAUCAACACCAGCAGCCACAUUUAGAAGUUUCUACUUCGACCUUUUUCCCUUCUUUUAAACCCAUCUUGUGUGUAUCCAUUAUAAUCACCUAUCCAAUAAUAAUCAAGAACACCACGAAGAUUGUAUUCACUAUGAGUAUCUAGGGUUUUGUGAUCGGAGAAAGUACGGCCGACAUAAUCAAUGGAUUGAAGGAGAUACAGUGAGAGCGAGAGAAAGAGAGAUGGAGGCAGAAGAUAGAGGGAGGAGAGAGAGAGAGAGAAAGACAAAUAAAAAUGGGCCAGAGAGGGGGAAGCGGGAAGGGGUGAGGCAAGAAGAAAGAACCGGUUCGCUUGUUUCUCUCUCUCUUGCUCCAGAAAGCAGGUCAUAGUCAUGGUCGUAUAUAUGCAAAUACUUUGUAGUUUUAAAAAAAGAAAGUAAAUAUGCAAUUUUUUGGAGAAGAUUGUAUUAUUGCAAUUAAAAUGUUAAAAAAAGGUAUAUUUGGUAAAUACCCUUAUAUUUAAUAUAAUAUAUUUAAUAUUAUUAUUUUAAAAAACACAA
rnacentral:lncRNA from 1 species